rnacentral:rRNA from 1 species
AUUGAAUGCUGGCGGCAUGCCUUACACAUGCAAGUCGAACGGCAGCACGGGUGCUUGCACCUGGUGGCGAGUGGCGGAACGGGUGAGUAAUACAUCGGAAUGUACCUUGUAGUGGGGGAUAGCUCGGCGAAAGCCGGAUUAAUACCGCAUACGCUCUGAGGAGGAAAGCGGGGGGACCUUCGGGCCUCGUGCUACAAGAGCAGCCGAUGUCAGAUUAGCUUGUUGGUGAGGUAAAAGCUCACCAAGGCGACGAUCUGUAGCUGGUCUGAGAGGACGACCAGCCACACUGGGACUGAGACACGGCCCAGACUCCUACGGGAGGCAGCAGUGGGGAAUUUUGGACAAUGGGCGAAAGCCUGAUCCAGCAAUGCCG